GCAAAGCUGUUCCUAACCAAGCAGAAACAAUGUUAUAUAUACUUGUUUUGUUACAAGGAAGAUAAAGCUGAAACCAUUUCCCUAUUUACACAACUGCAAAAAAACAGAUGCAAAAAUGUUUUCUUCUGCAUCUCAAAUCUGGACAAAGAGAAAAGCUGCUGGGGCUGACUUUAUCUGUUCAAUCUGCGCAUUAAGAUUUUGCAAAUCCAACAAGCUGAUAAACUUUAAUUUCUUCAGAACCCAGAUAUAGGAAUUAAGAUCUACAGACCUGAAACUUGAAAAAGUCACAUAAUAAAAAAAACAAAUCAGUAGAUUUGGCAAAUCAAAUAAGGAAUGAAGUUAUACAGUAGAUACAAAUAUAUUCCAUGUUUUUUCUUCAGAUCCCAAAAAUAGAAAAGAAGAUCAGAUCUAGAGACCUGGAUAUUAAAAUCAGAUAUUAGAUCUCUACUAGUAAUAAAGAUAAAAGAAAUUAAGGACAACCAGAAUACAAAUCAGGUCAAAUGAAUGUAGAGCUCCCUUCAAUCCAAAAAGAGAUCCAACUUAGGGCAAUGAAGCUCCUGACAUAUGCAACCCACAAACCUAUCCAAUCAAAUAAUAGAUAGGACUGAGGAAUCCAUAGGUCGGCAGCUUAAUCUUACCUGUUAGAUCCUCUGUUGGACUUCAAGGAGCUCCACUCUCAAAACCCUAAAAAAACAUUCUUAUAUCAUAUAAAAAGACAAAAAAAGUCAAACCUAAAUCCUGUCCUAAAACUGCCAAAAACUGUCUUCAACUUCCAUCUCAAAACAACCCUAAACACAAACCUCACAUGUCAACAUAAGAAAAAGAUCAAAUUCUUGAAUCGAUCUACAUAUAUAUACAGAUGUAUGGUCAAGAAAGACAAAAAAAAACUGAAUAGAGAUAACCCUAGUUAGAAAAAGAAUGAACAAGAGAAGCAAAUUAGAAACAACUCAAAACAGCUAAUAAGAUGAAGUAGCAAAAGAAGAGAUAAGUGAGAAUUGUUGAAAGGAGAGGGGAGUAUAUAUAAUGGGUGUAGGAAAUGAGAUAUGGUAAGUAAGGGUAGUGCCAGUAUUUUUGGUUUUCUUUUGUUUGGUAAGAGAGUGAAAGCAUUGGGGGACGUGUGGGGCAAAUUAAAGUUUUUCUUGUGUGAUUACUAUUGC
rnacentral:lncRNA from 1 species